CGAUGCUUCUGGAGCUUUUUUUCAUCGCCCCGAUAAAUCGGACCACCUGGAUAUCGGCAAAAAAUAAAAGUUGGAGCGUCGCGCGGAAACAUUAGAAAGCUCGAUGCUUUUUGCGUCUCAUCUCCACUCGGAAAAUCUACGUAUAUUCUUUUCAAUUUCUCAAAUUCACGGCAGAGGCUUUUCCUCGCUUUUUUUUCAUCGAGAAUCCAUAGCGAUUGGCAGAAAACAGUUCUUCAAGAAUCUGAAAAACUUUCAUCACUAUUCGUAACUAUGGUCAAUUUGAAGCAAAAAAUUUACCAAAGGGUAUCGCGAUACCUCCAUUUCAAGAGGCAAAACUGGCUUUUUUCCGAUUACCAACCGCAUAGACGAGAAAUACUCUACUCUGAAGUUUACGUUGAUUACAAGAAACGGAAAAGAAACUAUGGUCGUAUACACUAACAACAGGAUCUCAAAGGUUCGUUAUUUAUAAUUAAGACGGUGUUUGUGUACCGGAUGACGAGUGCAGAGUAUUAUUAUUGUUAUUAUUAUUGUUGUUGUUAUUAUUAUCGUUAUGAUUGUUAUCAUCAAUAUUAUCACAUUCCUCCAUUCCAUUAUUAUUAUUAAGACAUUCCUAGAUCGAUGUAUCCACCGGUUCCACCACACAGUAUACAUACAUAGCUAAAUGUACAUAAAAAUAAACAAAUAAAUGGAUAAAAAAAAUCAAUCGAAAUACUUUCUAUACUUCUAGUUACGUGGGAAAUAGUAAUUCUAUGUUUAUAGAAAGACUGAAAUGAAAGCUCUAGAUCGCACGCGUACGUAAUGUAAAACUAUGUAGGUUUGUAAUAAUCUAAUAUAAUAAUGAAAGGCUGGGUUCAAACUGUCAAAUAUGCAUUACUAGAUUUGAUUGAAAAAAAAGGACAACCCAUAUUG